ACGGGUGAGUAAUGCCUAGGAAUCUGCCUGGUAGUGGGGGACAACGUCUCGAAAGGGACGCUAAUACCGCAUACGUCCUACGGGAGAAAGUGGGGGAUCUUCGGACCUCACGCUAUCAGAUGAGCCUAGGUCGGAUUAGCUAGUUGGUGAGGUAAUGGCUCACCAAGGCGACGAUCCGUAACUGGUCUGAGAGGAUGAUCAGUCACACUGGAACUGAGACACGGUCCAGACUCCUACGGGAGGCAGCAGUGGGGAAUAUUGGACAAUGGGCGAAAGCCUGAUCCAGCCAUGCCGCGUGUGUGAAGAAGGUCUUCGGAUUGUAAAGCACUUUAAGUUGGGAGGAAGGGUUGUAGAUUAAUACUCUGCAAUUUUGACGUUACCGACAGAAUAAGCACCGGCUAACUCUGUGCCAGCAGCCGCGGUAAUACAGAGGGUGCAAGCGUUAAUCGGAAUUACUGGGCGUAAAGCGCGCGUAGGUGGUUUGUUAAGUUGAAUGUGAAAUCCCCGGGCUCAACCUGGGAACUGCAUCCAAAACUGGCAAGCUAGAGUAGGGCAGAGGGUGGUGGAAUUUCCUGUGUAGCGGUG
rnacentral:rRNA from 1 species